ACGGAAGGCAGCAGUGGGGAAUAUUGCACAAUGGGCGAAAGCCUGAUGCAGCGACGCCGCGUGAGUGAAGAAGUUAUUCGUAACGUAAAGCUCUAUCAGCAGGGAAGAAAAUGACGGUACCUGACUAAGAAGCCCCGGCUAACUACGUGCCAGCAGCCGCGGUAAUACGUAGGGGGCAAGCGUUAUCCGGAUUUACUGGGUGUAAAGGGAGCGUAGGCGGUACGGCAAGUCAGAAGUGAAAGCCCGGGGCUCAACUCCGGGAUUGCUUUUGAAACUGUCGAACUAGAGUGUCGGAGAGGUAAGUGGAAUUCCUAGUGUAGCGGUGAAAUGCGUAGAUAUUAGGAGGAACACCAGUGGCGAAGGCGGCUUACUGGACGAUAACUGACGCUGAGGCUCGAAAGCGUGGGGAGCAAACAGGAUUAGAUACCCUGGUA
rnacentral:rRNA from 1 species